GAUGAACGCUGGCGGCGUGCCUAAUACAUGCAAGUCGAGCGAACAGACGAGGAGCUUGCUCCUUCGACGUUAGCGGCGGACGGGUGAGUAACACGUAGGUAACCUACCUAUAAGACUGGGAUAACUUCGGGAAACCGGAGCUAAUACCGGAUAAUAUUUCGAACCGCAUGGUUCGAUAGUGAAAGAUGGCUUUGCUAUCACUUAUAGAUGGACCUGCGCCGUAUCAGCUAGUUGGUAAGGUAACGGCUUACCAAGGCAACGAUACGUAGCCGACCUGAGAGGGGGAUCGGCCACACUGGAACUGAGACACGGUCCAGACUCCUACGGGAGGCAGCAGUAGGGAAUCUUCCGCAAUGGGCGAAAGCCUGACGGAGCAACGCCGCGUGAGUGAUGAAGGUCUUCGGAUCGUAAAACUCUGUUAUUAGGGAAGAACAAACGUGUAAGUAACUGUGCACGUCUUGACGGUACCUAAUCAGAAAGCCACGGCUAACUACGU
rnacentral:rRNA from 1 species